AGAGUUUGGAUCCUGGCUCAGGAUAAACGCUGGCGGCGUGCCUAACACAUGCAAGUCGAACGGUCUGCGCAAGCAGGCAGUGGCGGACGGGUGAGUACCACGUGGAUAACCUACCCCGAGGUGAGGAAUACCGGCGAGAAAUCGCUGACAAGACCGCAUAGGUUUGGUUGUACCAAACAAAGCUCGGGAAACCGAGCGCCACGGGAGGGGUCUGCGCCCGAUUAGUUAGUUGGUGGGGUAACGGCUCACCAAGACGACGAUCGGUAGCUGGUCUGAGAGGAUGAUCAGCCACACUGGGAUUGAGAACGGCCCAGACUCCUACGGGGGGCAGCAGUGAGGAAUUUUCCGCAAUGGGGGCAACCCUGACGGAGCAACGCCGCGUGCAGGAAGAGGCUUUUCGGAGUGUAAACUGCUUUUCCCAAGGAAGAGAAGGGACGGUACUUGGGGAAGAAGCCCCGGCUAACUACGUGCCAGCAGCCGCGGUAAUACGUAGGGGGCGAGCGUUGUCCGGAGUGACUGGGCGUAAAGGGCCCGCAGGCGGUCGGUCGCGUUUUCGGUGCCAGCUACCAGCUUAACUGGUGGAGUGCCGAGAAGACGGGUCGACUUGAGGCACA
rnacentral:rRNA from 1 species